CAGCAGGUUACAGGGGGUUUUGAGGUUCACACCGUUCUCGUGGUCAAAUUAUUCCUUCCAUGCAUUAAGACAACGACUACAGUCACCCUCAUGAUAACUUCAAGAGAGGACAGAUCAGAAACACAGUUUAGUUCAGUUAAUUUCUGAUUCAGGAAAUCCAGACAAGCAUUGACAAUAUGACAAUUAGUACUUUUACCAAUUAUUCUUAAUACAAAUCUCUAAACAUAUGUGAAAGAGAAUUACAACCCAAUCUGUAGAUUUUUUUUCUCCAAAUUGGUUUAUACUCCCCAUCACACUGUCAACUUCAUUGCAGAGUCACCGGAUCAGGAAGUUAGACCUCUAACCCAUUGGGAUAAAUCCCAGCAAUCCAGCAGACCCAAUCUGGUGAGAUUUGUAUCGAAACAGAACAGAACAAGCAACACGACAGUACACUCCUUCAUCUAUCACUCGAUACACUCCUACAUAUCACUAUUCCCCAUUUUUGACACAAGGCUCACAAUGUGAGUAAUGUGUUAAAAUAACAAAACUACUGGUUAAAAAUAAAACAAACCAAUUUCAAAUAACAAAAUCGAAUUAGAAUCACAACGCAUAAUAACUGUAAAAAGAAAAAAAUUGUACCCAUACAGUCAUAGGAAAAUAGACUGAAGACAGCCUAUCCUUAUUCAAAGGCAACGCCCUCUUCUUCUUCCCGUUGGUCCAAGUCACAAAUAUGGCUAUGACCUAUAAACUUCAUCAUCAUUUUCAGUAUUAUAAACAACCUUAAAAUCAGUAUUUAUUAUAAAAUUCCUUUCACAACACUAAUCAAUCUUCAGCUAUUCACUUCAAUCCAUCUUAUCCUUAAUGUAAUUUAGGCCUACUGCAGGGCUUUGUGAAAAGGUACUGAGAUUGAGACGUAGGGUGACAGCGUGACAGCCACGUUGAGGAGUGGGAGGAGUAUGUGGUGUGUAGGGCCGAGGGACGAGAUGUGGGAUGCAGUGGAGGCAUGACUACCUUGGCAAACAGGUAUUUCAACCACGGCGCAAUGAAUCACAGAGCGAUGAAAGCAGUGCUGGUCAACACAUGUGGAGGAGGCACCACAACACUGUCAAGGGGCUCCCAGAUAACAGCAGCAGAAAUGAGGCUUGGUGGAUUUCAACACAGUUAAAAUGUAAAAAGCAUGGUGAGAUAUAAAAGGUGAUAAGGAUGUUACUAAACACUGAGCUACAGUCCACUCACCCUCAGCGGGCUUUUUUCAAGGGAAACGGAAAAGAACCUGUGACAGGACGUCUGCUUUUUCGACAUUAACCAGUGUUUCUGCGUCAACAAGGCAACACUCCAUCUGAACUCCUCCUCCACAUUUAAUGGAUUGGUUUAACAGUGCAGAAGAGAAACUCCCACGACAAAAAUACAUUCUCGUCAGGACCAGAAAGUAGGAAACGCUGCUCAGUUGUUUAUUUUGUGAAUGCUAAAUUGGGUUACAGUCCACUGCACAGUCACAGAGCAUGCCAGCUAUUCCUACUGACAGACUGACACCAAGUGGCAGGAUUCUAUAUACCCUGCAAGUGACCACAAGACUAGCACCAGCCUCCUACACUAUACAUGCACAAUUCUAAUUGAGAAAUCCAAGUACACUGAUGUGGUUACAAUCGGACAGUAAUUCCAUUACCUUAUGAAAGUUAUGAUUAACUGCAGAACUUACUUUUCAUUAAUAUAGAACACUACAGGUAACUUCCAAAAUAAAGGACACGCCAACAUAAAGUGUCAUAAUAUGGAGUUGGGCCACCAAGAGCCGGAACAGAUUUUUUAGAUUUUGGCCACUAGAUGACAGCAGUGUAUGUGUAAAGUUUUAGACUGAUUCAAUGAACCAUUGCAUUUCUGUUCAAAAUGUUGUAUCAAGACUGCCCA
ensembl:lncRNA